rnacentral:misc_RNA from 1 species
GAAAUGCGAUAAGCAAUGCGAAUUGCAGAAUUCCGCGAGUCAUCAGAUCUUUGAACGCAGCCCGCGCCGGGGAGAUAUCUCCUCGGCAUGUUUGUUUCAGUGUGUUUGGUUGACUUCACACAGCUCAAUGCGAUUGAAACCUCCCGUAAAAAAAGAGGGGUCUCUCGUGAAAAGCGAAGGCGUGGGACUUUACCUUCGCCAACGAUGUGGUCACUGUUCUACAGUGAAUUCGUUGGGCUCAUCGAGGCAAGUCAUUUAAUGUACGUCUUAACCAAAAACACAAAAAAUCUUCAAUCUGCACCUGAAAUCAAGCAAGAACACCCGCUGAACUUAA